UGACAGGAUAAAAGUAAAAUGUUAUGUGGAAUUUAUUGAAAUGUAUUGGCUAGCUAGCAAUAUGCGUGUAUGUGUGGACAGUACUGGAAUCUAUACAAUCAUGCACUAAAUUGGAAUUGCUACAUACGUGUAUAGCCAUAUAUGCAACACACCAGUUGUAGAACUGUGGACAAUGUACUGGAAAGUGCACAUAAAAAGGUAUAUUACUCAGUAUAUCAGAUUUUCAUUCAAUAUGGGAUCAGUUCUUGAAGAAUCCUCCCAAGAGUAGCCAUCUGAAUGUGAGUUUAACAUUAUGGAUGUUGUAUUGUGUGUAUCAGGAAAAUAUCCAGAUUCGUAACCACUGCUUCCUUUUUGUGUUUAUAGUGUUGUCUUUUGAGAACCGCUGCACCACUAGUUAUAUAUAAAUUAAUUUAUACUGUGUAUACAAAAGUGCAUAUAUUUAGUGUAAAUACAAA